rnacentral:tRNA from 1 species
UGGGGUGUGGCUCAGUGUUAGAGCACUUGCCUAGCAGGUCUGAGGCUCUGGGCUCAAUCCUCAGCACUACAU